rnacentral:misc_RNA from 1 species
UACGUAGGUGGCAAGCGUUGUCCGGAAUUACUGGGCGUAAAGGGUGCGCAGGCGGCACGUUAAGUCAACUGUUCAAUUCUCCGGCCUAACCGGAGGCAAGCAGUAGAUACUGACAUGCUAGAGGAUGGAAGAGAGAAGUGGAAUUCUCGGAGUAGCGGUAAAAUGCGUAGAUCUCGAGAGGAACACCGAUGGCGAAGGCAGCUUCUUGGUCCAUAUCUGACGCUCAUGCACGAAAGCGUGGGGAGCAAACAGG